rnacentral:tRNA from 1 species
GCCGGGGUGGUGGAAUGGCAGACACCUUGGACUUAAAAUCCAAUGUUCCGUAAAGAACGUGCGGGUUCAAGUCCCGCCCCCGGCA